UACGUAGGGGGCCAGCGUUGUCCGGAAUCAUUGGGCGUAAAGCGCGCGUAGGCGGCCAGAUAAGUCCGGUGUGAAAGUCAAAGGCUCAACCUUUGAAUGCCGCUGGAAACUGUCUGGCUUGAGUCCGGAAGGGGCGAGUGGAAUUCCUGGUGUAGCGGUGAAAUGCGCAGAUAUCAGGAGGAACACCGGUGGCGAAGGCGGGUCUCUGGGCCGAUACUGACGCUGAGGAGCGAAAGCGUGGGGAGCGAACAGG
rnacentral:rRNA from 1 species